rnacentral:rRNA from 1 species
GACGAACGCUGGCGGCGUGCUUAACACAUGCAAGUCGAACGGUAAGGCCCUUCGGGGUACACGAGUGGCGAACGGGCGAGUAACACGUGGGUGAUCUGCCCUGAACUUCGGGAUAAGCCUGGGAAACUGGGUCUAAUACCGGAUAGGACCACUGCCUGCAUGGCUGGUGGUGGAAAGCUUUUGCGGUGUGGGAUGGGCCCGCGGCCUAUCGGCUUGUUGGUGGGGUGAUGGCCUACCAAGGCGACGACGGGUAGCCGGCCUGAGAGGGUGACCGGCCACACUGGGACUGAGAUACGGCCCAGACUCCUACGGGAGGCAGCAGUGGGGAAUAUUGCACAAUGGGCGCAAGCCUGAUGCAGCGACGCCGCGUGAGGGAUGACGGCCUUCGGGUUGUAAACCUCUUUCAGCACCGACGAAGCGCAAGUGACGGUAGGUGCAGAAGAAGGACCGGCCAACUACGUGCCAGCCGCCGCGGUAA